GCCGGGAUGGCGGAAUUGGUAGACGCAAGAGACUUAAAAUCUCUCGGUCCUCGCGGCUGUACGGGUUCAAGUCCCGUUCCCGGUACCA
rnacentral:tRNA from 1 species